UCCCCUGCAGGUGUGGUUUCGCAUGCAAGUCGUAGCGAGAAGUGUUUUUUGCUUGAUUGAACACGGACAGCGGCGAAAGGGAGAGUAACGUGUGGUUACAUGCCCAGGGGUCCAGGAUAGCGUUGGGAAACUGCUGGUAAUACUGGAUGAUAUCUUAGGAUCAAAGGUGAGAUUCCGCCCUUGGAUUGGCCGCAUACUAUUAGCUUGUUGGUGAGGUAAUGGCUCACCAGGGCUGCGAUGGUUACCGGGUGUGAGAGCAUGGCCCGGCUCACUGGGACUGACACACUGCCCAGACACCUACGGGUGGCUGCAGUCGAGAAUCUUCGGCAAUGGACGAAAGUCUGACCGAGCGACGCCGCGUGCGGGAUGAAGGCCCUCGGGUUGUAAACCGCUGUCAGUUGGAAGGAAAGCUUUGUGAAGAGCAAAGCUUGACCGAUCUUCAGAGGAAGGACGGGCUAAGUUCGUGCCAGCAGCCGCGGUAAGACGAACCGUCCAAACGUUAUUCGGUAUCACUGGGCUUAAAGCGUGCGUAGGCGGCUUGUAGGUGUGAUGUGAAAGCCCACGGCUCAACGUGGAAUUGCGUCGCAGACCCCCAAGCUUGAGGAAGACAGGGGUGUUGGGAACUUAUGGUGGAGCGGUGAAAUGCGUUGAUAUCAUAGGGAACACCGGUGGCGAAGGCGCAACACUGGGUCUUUUUCUGACGCUGAGGCACGAAAGCUAGGGUAGCGAACGGGAUUAGAUACCCCGGUAGUCCUAGCCGUAAACGAUGAACACUGGGUUGAGGGGACUUCCACAUCCUCGCGACCGUAGCGAAAGCGUUAAGUGUUCCGCCUAGUGAGUAUGGUCGCAAAGUCUGAAACUCAAAGGAAUUGACGG
rnacentral:rRNA from 1 species